AGCAGCUUUUGGUCCGUUAUCCACGUCAAAAAUUUGAAAGGAGAAGAGAUUCGUGGAGUUUGGGUUGAGAGCUAUCACUGUAACGUCAUCACGGUGGUGUCGAAGAAUCCUGGGCACAUCUGAAAGGAGAAGAGAGUCGUGGAUACAAAUGAUUUUAGGAGCGGAAGGAAUUUGAGACGAAUGAUGUUAAAGAAGGAAUUUGGGGUAGAAGGAAUUUGGGACGAAUGAUGAACGAAAUUGG
rnacentral:misc_RNA from 1 species